rnacentral:misc_RNA from 1 species
UCACUCUGAGUCGUUCUGGAGACGGAAGGUGCCUUUUAUAGCCUGCUGCGAUGCAGAGCUGAUAAGCAGACCUGUCUCGUAAGACAGCUAACAUGGAUCUGUCUACAACGAGGACGUUUUCAUUUUUUUGUCGUCCGUUUGAGUUGUUUGGGGCAAUGUGGUGAGAUUCCAGAACCCCAGUGUCGGUUAAGAAGGCAAUGACGCGUUUAUCGCAUGAGCCUAGUGCGAGAGCUUCUGUUUGGGCGAUUGAGCUGAGAAACCGGCGAGUUCAAUCCAGAAGCGAGUACAACCGCCUGAGCCAAGUGUCUUAAGUCCGUAACCUUUUGUGUCCGGUUGACCGCCAUGAGCUGAAAAAGUGCCAUGAGCAAAGAGGGAGUGAUUGUGCCGGCUGAAAAAUGUCAGAGCCACCUCCGUGCCUUGUGAGAGUUCCCGAGGACCACAUGUGCAGCCGCCAGAGCAAAGAGCCAGAGCCACUGAGCGCGAGCCACCGACAGUGAGAUACUCAAGGGUGAAAUUCCUUUUGAUAGACUCCCAUCUGUGAGAGAGCCGCCUAGAACUGAAGAGCCAAGCUGAAAUGCCAGAGCUGCCAGUCGCUGAGGAGCCAGCUGAGACGCUGAGCUGAGACGCAUUACUAGAGCAAAGAUCUGCUUUGACAGACGCCAUAUAUGGUCAAAAGAGCAACAGAUGCCUGAGUCAGAGCCAAUAAGACCCACAGGGGCAAUGAGUGCCAACCAGAGCCACACAAGAGCCAGAGCUGUCACGUUGGUCACCAGAGCUGAAAUGCCAGAGUCGAAGCGUAGCCAGAGCCGCCGAAGAGCAUAGCCACUAAGUCCAACGAGCAAUAAGAGCAUUUACCAGAGCCAGUAAGUCCGGAGAGCAAUAAGUGCCAAGGCCAGAGCCACGGCUAUUGAGCCAGAGCCAUUACCAUUGCGAGCAAAGAGCCAGUAAGUCCUACAAGGCAAUAAGUGCCAAACGCCGAAUGAGAGCGAACACCAAAGCCAGUGAGUCCUGAACGGCAAUAAGAGCCUUUCGCCUGAGCAAGAGCCAGUGAGUCCACAGAUGCAAUGAGCGCCAAACGCCAGAGCACAGACAGAGCCGGAAGAGCCAGGGCCAUAGAGCUGAGGCCAGCCAGUUGCCAAUAAGUCCAAAGAGCAGUGAGAGCCAGAGCACGAGCCAAAGUCAUACACUAUUCAAGGAGUAGGCGGAGAACCUCUUAGCCUGAGGACGUAACCGACCGAACCUGUUUAUCUAGUUUGAGAGGAGUAGGUGAAAAUCCGAACCUCUUGGGUAAUAAAUCAUGGACCAAAGAGUCCCACCCG